CUCACUGGUGAGGUUCCCGAAAACUGUGCAACACCAGCAGAGCCAAUGAGUGAUGGCCAGGGCCAUGGGGAUAUAGGUGCACCACCCACUGCUCUGUUUGCAGAAAUAAUUGUUGUGACCCAGCUAAGGCUGGGAAAGGGGGAAUGCAUGAGCAUGUUGGGACCAAGGCAUCAGAGCUGGGAGGACAGUUGUACAUUGUGUGGGAGCUUGGCAAGCCCCUCCAAAUGUCUGUCUUGACUCCUGCUGAAUGGACUUGCACACAGAAACUGGGUCCUGAGCUACGCUCUGCCUUGUGAUGGAAGGGACAGGCAUAUGCCAGCCUAGACCUCGGCCCUUGCCGGAUUGGAGUCCAAGGUGUGCAUAUCCAUCCAGAUGUGGUGCGUGACCUCAGGGUCUGUGACAGAAGCUCUGGCAUCCUCACUUUGCUGGAAUGGGUCACAGGCUAUGGGAGAGCCUGUCAGGCGGUGUCUAUGGAUUUGUAUGAGGCGCUGAGGGACUCAAGGCUGUCGUCUCUAAUACCUUGAUGUAAUACCAGGUAUCCCCAGGAGCUUCUUUGGGAAGGGAAAGAUCUAGAACCCACCUCAGCUGAGCUGGUGUGCAGUCUGCAUGACCACUGCCCUUUCUGCUCAUCCCAGUAGGAAAUGGUG
rnacentral:lncRNA from 1 species